rnacentral:lncRNA from 1 species
UCCACUACACCAGGACUAUAGACAGGAAGCACUACACCUAGACUAUAGACAUGUACCAUUACAACUAGACUAUAAACAUGAACCACUACACCAAGACUAUAGACAUGCCCCACUACACCUACACUAUAGACUUGUCCCACUACAGUUAGCCUAUAUAAAUGAACCACUACACCUAGACUAUAGAUAUGCUCCACUACACCAGGAAUAUAGACAUGAAGCACUACAACUAGACUAUAGACAUGUCCCAAUUCACCUAGAGAAUAGAAAUGAACCACUGCAAUAAAGUAUAGGUAUGUGCCACUACACCUAGACUAUAGACAUGCCCCACUACACCUAGACUAUAAACAUGUCUCACUACAGCUAGAGUGUGGAAAUAUCGCACUUCACCAAGAUAACAGACAUGAAGCACUAUGCCUAGACUAUAGACAUCUCCCACUAAACAUAGAUUACAGACAUGUCCCACUACACCUAUACUACAGACAUGAAUGACUCUACCUAAUCGAUAGACAUGAACAACUACACGUACACUAUUGACAUGUCCUUCUACACUUAGACUGUACAAAAGUCCCACUGAUCCUAGACUAUAGACAUGUCCCAGAACGCUUAGACUAUAGACAUGUCCCAUUACACCUAGAUUGUAGACAUAUCCCACUACACCUAGACUAUAAACUAGAGUAUAAUCAUGUCUCACUACACCUAGACUAUAGACAUUUCCCACUACACCUAGUCUAUAGACUUGUCCAACUAUACCUAGAGUAUAGACAUUAACCACUACACAUACAGUAUAUACAUGUGCCACUACACCAAGACUGUAGACAUGUCCCAAUACACCCAGACUAUAGACAAGUCUCACUUCAGCUAGAGCAUAGAAAUAUCGCACUACACUUAGACUAUAGACUUCUCCCAUUACACCUAGACUAUAGAAAUACCCCGCUACACCUAGACUAUAGAAAUGAACCACUAUACCUAGUCUAAAGGCAUGAACAACUACACAUACAGUAUUGACAUGUCCCUCUACACCUAGACUACAGACAUGUCCCAC